AUGGAGGAAGUAGAAAGGAAGGCUCUUGGCUCUUUCAAAGGAAGAGUACCCAGCCACUGGUACAGAUAUGUAGACGACACCUGGGUCAAAAUCAAGACACGAGAAGUGGAAUCCUUCACUGCGCACAUUAACGCUGUGGAUAAGAACAUCAAGUUUACCAGGGAAGACACAAAGGACAACUCUUUGCCUUUCCUGGACUGCGCUGAGCACAUUGAAGAGAACGGCAACCUCAACAUCGAAGUUUACCGGAAGCCCACACACACGGACCAGUACCUCCUCUUUGACUCCCAUUACCCUCUGGAACACAAACUGGGAGUAAUCAGGACCCUACACCACCGGGCAGAACAUGUCCCCUCUAAGCCUGAGGGAAAAAAGAAGGAACACACACACGUAAAGGAAGCACUCAGAACAUGCGGUUAUCCUAAUUGGGCUUUCUUAAAGUCAACAAAGAGGCACAGAAAAGAAGAUCAGACACCAGCGAGGGAGGAUAAGAAAGACAGACGCAACAACAUUGUCAUCCCUUAUGUAGCCGGUGUAUCAGAGAAACUCAGGAGAGUUUUCUCCAAGCACGACAUCCCAGUGUACUUCAGACCCAGCAACACACUCAGACAGAAACUGGUUCACCCGAAAGACAAAACUCCAAAACACAGACUUAACAACGUGGUGUAUGCUGUACAGUGCAGCGAGGAAUGCCCAGACCUCUACAUUGGAGAGACCAAACAGCCACUUCACAAGCGCAUGGCACAACAUAGAAGAGCCACCUCCACGGGACAAGACUCAGCAGUUCAUCUGCAUCUUAAGGACAAAGGUCACUCUUUCGAGGAUGCCAACGUUCACAUUUUGGACAGAGAGGACAGAUGGUUUGAAAGAGGAGUGAAAGAGGCCAUCUAUGUCCACUGUGAGCGACCAUCUUUGAACAGAGGCGGUGGUUUACGACACCAACUGUCUGCCAUCUAUAAUCCAGUUUUGAGUUCCCUCCCCAGACGCCUUAACGCCCACUCACAUCCUGGGCCAUCUGACCUCAGGAAUUCACAUGACAAGGUGGGGCCAGGUUUCACAAUGAGCACACCCGAAACCCUGGCUGAUUAG
ensembl:lncRNA